rnacentral:rRNA from 1 species
GAUGAACGCUGACAGAAUGCUUAACACAUGCAAGUCUUUGGCGAAGCUGUGCUUGCACAGCCUAGCCAAGGCGGACGGGUGAGUAACGCGUAAGGAACUUGCCCUGCAGUCAGGGAUAACAGACGGAAACGACUGAUAAGACCUGGUAAAGUCAGGCGGACUCAUGUCCAGCCUGAUGAAAAGAGAUGCUGCAGGAGAGCCUUGCGUCCUAUUAGCUUGUUGGUGGGGUAACGGCCCACCGAGGCGAUGAUAGGUAGCCGGCCUGAGAGGGUGGACGGCCACAAGGGGACUGAGAUACGGCCCUUACUCCUACGGGAGGCAGCAGUGGGGAAUAUUGGACAAUGGGGGCAACCCUGAUCCAGCAAUUCUGUGUGCACGAUGAAGGUUUUCGGAUUGUAAAGUGCUUUCAGCAGGGAAGAAAAAAAUGACGGUACCUGCAGAAGAAGCGACGGCUAAAUACGUG